rnacentral:rRNA from 1 species
UACGAAGGGGGCUAGCGUUGCUCGGAAUCACUGGGCGUAAAGCGCACGUAGGCGGAUCUUUAAGUCAGGGGUGAAAUCCCAAGGCUCAACCUUGGAACUGCCUUUGAUACUGGGGAUCUCGAGUCCGGAAGAGGUUGGUGGAACUGCGAGUGUAGAGGUGAAAUUCGUAGAUAUUCGCAAGAACACCAGUGGCGAAGGCGGCCAACUGGUCCGGUACUGACGCUGAGGUGCGAAAGCGUGGGGAGCA